rnacentral:rRNA from 1 species
UACGUAGGGUGCAAGCGUUAAUCGGAAUUACUGGGCGUAAAGCGUGCGCAGGCGGUUGUGUAAGUCUGUCGUGAAAUCCCCGGGCUCAACCUGGUAAUUGCGAUGGAGACUGCACGGCUAGAGUGUGUCAGAGGGGGGUAGAAUUCCACGUGUAGCAGUGAAAUGCGUAGAUAUGUGGAGGAACACCGAUGGCGAAGGCAGCCCCCUGGGAUAACACUGACGCUCAUGCACGAAAGCGUGGGGAGCAAACAGG